rnacentral:lncRNA from 10 species
UGUUCAGAGACCUCAACUUUGUUUAGAGAUCUUGUGUGGGUGGAACUUCCUGUUUGCACACAGAGCAGCAUAAAGCCCAGUUGCUUUGGGAAGUGUUUGGGACCAGAUGGAUUGUAGGGAGUAGGGUACAAUACAGUCUGUUCUCCUCCAGCUCCUUCUUUCUGCAACAUGGGGAAGAACAAACUCCUUCAUCCAAGUCUGGUUCUUCUCCUCUUGGUCCUCCUGCCCACAGACGCCUCAGUCUCUGGAAAACCGGUCCAUUUUCUAUUUUAUAAAAAUAAAGACAAUUCUCUCCCACAACCAAACAUGGAACAAUGCCCUGGAGUAUAAAAAUCUAUAGAGUGCCAAAUAAAGGAACAAUUUGAAAUACUGGUGUUGAUAUUGAAAAAGCAAGGGACUCUAAUGUCAGAAGAGAAAUCCUUUUGCAGAUGAGGUGGUGAUGAAUUCUUUGUUUCAACACAACUGAAGGAGGAACUGAAGGAAAUACCAGCUGAUGAGUGAUGAGAAGGGAUUCUUGAUAAUAGAGUACUAGG